rnacentral:sRNA from 12 species
AGGUGAGUAAGUCCUCCCGAAAUAAUGAUGAUGCCAUGACUAAUUGACAGGGGUGGGAGCAAGUAGGGGAGGGUUCAGCU